rnacentral:lncRNA from 1 species
UUUAUUUUUAUUCAAAGGAACCUUUCUCCCUGUCUCCCCAACCCCAGCAACAAAAGAAAGGAAGAAAGAAACAACAGCUUAAAAAAAAAAUAGUAGCUCUAAUCUGUAAAAUAUUACGGUUGGAUUGCUGAGAAUCUAUGUAAAGAGUUAGGAAAUAUAGGUUAAUAAUUUUUGGAACAAAUUUUAAAUGUAGGCAUUACUAGAAGAAAAAUAUCUAUGGACUGUUCUAUUAAUGAAGAAUGUGUGUCUUACCUCCGUUUGCUAUGGGAGGAGGAGAAAAUAGUAGA